GACAGCAGUAGCCACGGGAAUACAGAGGGUGCGAGCGUUAAUCGGAUUUACUGGGCGUAAAGCGUGCGUAGGCGGCUUUUUAAGUCGGAUGUGAAAUCCCUGAGCUUAACUUAGGAAUUGCAUUCGAUACUGGGAAGCUAGAGUAUGGGAGAGGAUGGUAGAAUUCCAGGUGUAGCGGUGAAAUGCGUAGAGAUCUGGAGGAAUACCGAUGGCGAAGGCAGCCAUCUGGCCUAAUACUGACGCUGAGGUACGAAAGCAUGGGGAGCAAACAGGAUUAGAUACCCCGGUAGUCCCUGUCUCUUAUAC
rnacentral:rRNA from 1 species